CCUCGGAUCAGGUAGGAAUACCCGCUGAACUUAAGCAUAUCAAUAAGCGGAGGAAAAGAAACCAACAGGGAUUGCCCUAGUAACGGCGAGUGAAGCGGCAACAGCUCAAAUUUGAAAGCUGGCCUUCGGGUCCGCAUUGUAAUUUGUAGAGGAUGCUUUUGGUGCGGUUCCUUCCGAGUUCCCUGGAACGGGACGCCUUAGAGGGUGAGAGCCCCGUACGGUUGGACGCCUAUCCUUUGUAAAGCUCCUUCGACGAGUCGAGUAGUUUGGGAAUGCUGCUCAAAAUGGGAGGUAAAUGCCUUCUAAAGCUAAAUACCGGCCAGAGACCGAUAGCGCACAAGUAGAGUGAUCGAAAGAUGAAAAGCACUUUGAAAAGAGGGUUAAACAGCACGUGAAAUUGUUGAAAGGGAAGCGUUUAUGACCAGACUUUUUCCGGGCGGAUCAUCAGGGGUUCUCCCCUGUGCACUUCGCCCGGUGGAGGCCAGCAUCGGUUUUCGCCGGGGGAUAAAAGGUUGGGGAACGUGGCUCCUCCGGGAGUGUUAUAGCCCCUUCCAUAAUACCCUGGCGGGGACCGAGGUCCGCGCUUCGGCAAGGAUGCUGGCGUAAUGGUCAUCAACGACCCGUCUUGAAACACGGACCAAGGAGUCGAACAUUUGUGCGAGUGUUUGGGUGUUAAACCCUCACGCGUAAUGAAAGUGAACGGAGGUCAGAGCCGCAAGGUGCAUGAUCGACCGAUCCUGAUGUUUUCGGAUGGAUUUGAGUAAGAGCAUUAAUGUUCGGACCCGAAAGAUGGUGAACUAUGCGUGGAUAGGGUGAAGCCAGAGGAAACUCUGGUGGAGGCUCGCAGCGGUUCUGACGUGCAAAUCGAUCGUCAAAUCUGCGCAUGGGGGCGAAAGACUAAUCGAACCAUCUAGUAGCUGGUUACCGCCGAAGUUUCCCUCAGGAUAGCAGUGUUGUCUUCAGUUUUAUGAGGUAAAGCGAAUGAUUAGGGACUCGGGGGCGCUAUAUAGCCUUCAUCCAUUCUCAAACUUUAAAUAUGUAAGAAGCCCUUGUUACUUAAU
rnacentral:rRNA from 1 species